CCUACGGGGUGCAGCAGUGGGGAAUAUUGGACAAUGGGGGGAACCCUGAUCCAGCGACGCCGCGUGAGUGAAGAAGUAUUUCGGUAUGUAAAGCUCUAUCAGCAGGGAAGAAAGAAAUGACGGUACCUGACUAAGAAGCCCCGGCUAACUACGUGCCAGCAGCCGCGGUAAUACGUAGGGGGCAAGCGUUAUCCGGAUUUACUGGGUGUAAAGGGAGCGUAGACGGCGAUGCAAGUCUGAAGUGAAAGGCGGGGGCCCAACCCCCGGACUGCUUUGGAGACUGGAUGGCUGGAGUGCAGGAGAGGUAGGUGGAAUUCCUGGUGUAGCGGUGAAAUGCGUAGAGAUUAGGAGGAACACCAGUGGCGAAGGCGGCUUACUGGACUAUAACUGACGUUGAGGCUCGAAAGCGUGGGGAGCAAACAGGAUUAGAUACCCCUGUAGUC
rnacentral:rRNA from 1 species